GGCAGCGGGGAGGAGCUUGCUUCUCUGCCGGCGAGUGGCGAACGGGUGAGUAAUACAUCGGAACGUGUCGAGAAGAGGGGGAUAACCACCCGAAAGGGUGGCUAAUACCGCAUAAAUUCUGAGGAAGAAAGCUGGGGACCUAGGAAUAGGCCUAGCGCUUUUUGAGCGGCCGAUGUCGGAUUAGCUAGUUGGUGAGGUAAAGGCUCACCAAGGCGAAGAUCUGUAGCGGGUCUGAGAGGAUGAUCCGCCACACUGGGACUGAGACACGGCCCAGACUCCUACGGGAGGCAGCAGUGGGGAAUUUUGGACAAUGGGGGCAACCCUGAUCCAGCCAUGCCGCGUGUAUGAAGAAGGCCUUAGGGUUGUAAAGUACUUUUGUUAGGGAAGAAAAGUCAGCUGUGAAUAAUGGCUGAUACUGACGGUACCUAAAGAAUAAGCACCGGCUAACUACGUGCCAGCAGCCGCGGUAAUACGUAGGGUGCGAGCGUUAAUCGGAAUUAUUGGGCGUAAAGCGAGUGUAGACGGUUAUUUAAGCCAGAUGUGAAAUACCCGAGCCUAACUUGGGAGGUGCAUAUGGAACUGGGUAGCUAGAGUGUGUCAGAGGGAGGUAGAACUCCACGUGUAGCAGUGAAAUGCGUAGAGAUGUGGGAGAAUACCGAUGGCGAAGGCAGCCUCCUGGGAUAACACUGACGUUGAGGCUCGAAAGCGUGGGGAGCAAA
rnacentral:rRNA from 1 species